CAGUGGAUGUGAUUCAGCCAGGUUUUUGCUGCCUGACCAGGUGACAUCUCUGGGAUUCUGAAGGCACAGGGUUGUCACCGUGGGUUCCACAACCCUAAAGUGAUCAAAGCUGCACACAAUAUUCAAGGUGAGGCUGCACCAGUGCAGAGCAGAGUGAGAGCUACCCAUCAAUCUGCGUCUAAUUAAGACUAAUGGAAGCCAACAAUGCUAUCUCUAAGUGCACAUGGACCUCUGUGGCUGUGUUUCCAAAAUCCUGGAGGGAGGGAGCCAUCAGGGAGAAGGAUGGGGAGUGCUCGGCACUGAGACCAGAUAUACCACAGAAGCCGUAUCUUUCUUGGGCCAGAAGUUGCUGGACUAUACACUCAGAAGAAAUUGUAUCUUUUAUUUUAAAGCUGAAGAGAAAGUUUGAAGCUGACAGGCUCACUGC